rnacentral:rRNA from 1 species
UACGAGAGGCCCAAACGUUAUUCGGAUUUACUGGGCUUAAAGAGUUCGUAGGCGGCGCAGUAAGUAGGGUGUGAAAGCCCUCGGCUCAACCGAGGAAUUGCGCCCUAAACUACUGUGCUUGAGGGACGUAGAGGUGAGCAGAACUGAUGGUGGAGCGGUGAAAUGCGUUGAUAUCAUCAGGAAUACCGGAGGCGAAGGCGGCUCACUGGGGGUCUUCUGACGCUGAGGAACGAAAGCCAGGGGAGCGAACGGG